AGUUAUCUGAACCUUCGGGGAACGAUAACGGCGUCGAGCGGCGGACGGGUGAGUAAUGCCUAGGAAAUUGCCCUGAUGUGGGGGAUAACCAUUGGAAACGAUGGCUAAUACCGCAUGAUGCCUACGGGCCAAAGAGGGGGACCUUCGGGCCUCUCGCGUCAGGAUAUGCCUAGGUGGGAUUAGCUAGUUGGUGAGGUAAGGGCUCACCAAGGCGACGAUCCCUAGCUGGUCUGAGAGGAUGAUCAGCCACACUGGAACUGAGACACGGUCCAGACUCCUACGGGAGGCAGCAGUGGGGAAUAUUGCACAAUGGGCGCAAGCCUGAUGCAGCCAUGCCGCGUGUGUGAAGAAGGCCUUCGGGUUGUAAAGCACUUUCAGUCGUGAGGAAGGUAGUGUAGUUAAUAGCUGCAUUAUUUGACGUUAGCGACAGAAGAAGCACCGGCUAACUCCGUGCCAGCAGCCGCGGUAAUACGGAGGGUGCGAGCGUUAAUCGGAAUUACUGGGCGUAAAGCGCAUGCAGGUGGUUUGUUAAGUCAGAUGUGAAAGCCCGGGGCUCAACCUCGGAAUAGCAUUUGAAACUGGCAGACUAGAGUACUGUAGAGGGGGGUAGAAUUUCAGGUGUAGCGGUGAAAUGCGUAGAGAUCUGAAGGAAUACCGGUGGCGAAGGCGGCCCCCUGGACAGAUACUGACACUCAGAUGCGAAAGCGUGGGGAGCAAACAGGAUUAGAUACCCUGGUAGUCCACGCCGUAAACGAUGUCUACUUGGAGGUUGUGGCCUUGAGCCGUGGCUUUCGGAGCUAACGCGUUAAGUAGACCGCCUGGGGAGUACGGUCGCAAGAUUAAAACUCAAAUGAAUUGACGGGGGCCCGCACAAGCGGUGGAGCAUGUGGU
rnacentral:rRNA from 1 species